GCAGCGUGAAUUUCACUUUGAACAGACACAGUUGACCAGAAAGCCCAAAAAGGAGAAUACAAUUUGAGAACCGAUCGAAAGUAAUCAAACCAAAUAGCGAGGAUUGAAGAGUAACACAGUAGCACAUUGGACUAAUACAUAUACCCUGAAUCAAGACCUCUAAAGGAUAAUACCAGAAUCAGUUAAGAGGAUUCCUCUCUAUGUUUUUUUUUUUAAAUCAUAAAUGAAUCAUAACGCAAAUUUUACAAACUGCUGUUGGUUGUGGUUACAUUUUACUUAAAAAUGUUACAGAAGUUCUCUGAAAACUGUUCAUUUGUCCAGUCAUUGUCAAACUAAGUUAUAAUGGAAAAAAAAUAAACACAGUCUAGGAUCUCUGUUCCUUUGCAUCCAUCUUGGUUUUUAAGUGUGGGAGAGUUUGUGCAGGCGCAUUGCUGGUGAAUACCAUUUAUACAGGAACACAGUUACACAUCACAUGCUUGUAUCAUCGGGAGAACACACAUCAAGCACUGUAGGAGAUCUGCCAAGUACAUGCCUUGUUGUCAUUUCAGAGAUCUCCCUAAAUAAAACAUCAGUGUCAUCACCAAAGCAUGAAAGUGAAUAGAUCAUUGUCAAAACACCAGACCGGCUAAAUACUGGAGCUGAAAUGUGGUAUACCUUAUUCCCCUUCAGAGUACUGAAUUUCAAGUGACUCCACAAGAAUCUGUAUGGUCAAACGCCAUUUCCUUCCACAGCAGUCCUCUAACAUCUUGUGUGGCCAGAAACCACCAGUCGCCUCUUCGCUACCAGCAGCGGUCUUGUGGUUAAAGUCUAGUAAACUCAACGGCUCAGAGUUCAGUGUUACACUCGGCCAACUACACAGAACUAUGAUGAGUCCACCAUCUGUUAAAGUCCCUGAUCCCCUGUCUGCAAUGGCGGAUAGGAGGCGGGUUAACUGAUGAGAAAAAGGGUGGGGUCAGACGAGUGGGGCAGACUUAGGAGUUCAAGCUAGGCAUCGGAGAGAUCAGCUUUGAGAACCCUAAGAACACCUGGUGGUACAAUGACCUUAACAUUAAAGUAUUGCAUUUGCUAUUCUGCCAGUGUGAGUCAAUCCAGAGAAUUAUUAACUAGUAACUUAAUUAGUGAGUGUGAGACUUUGGAUGCAGGUGUCAGUGACCACUACCCCGUCGUCAUGACAAUUAUUAAUCUGAAUCCCCGUUUCUGCAUGCAGACAGACUGGUUCUGUUUAGAAUUGGCAAAUUUUGGUCAGGCGGUCAUUCAAUGGUUUGAAAUUCUCCAAGGUAGGUUAGACCCACAACUUUCCACCCUUCUCAGAGCCAACGAGGGCUACGGAGGUGUACUGUAUGAGGGGCCAACAGCUCCGCCCCAGUACCCAAUUCUCUGACCCUCCGAUUCUCAAGGCACAAACGCAGUGCUACUCGCACUGUCGGAAACAUCAGGAAGGACCACUAAACAAUGUCCGAGGAUUUGCAUCGACAAACGCCACUCUGCUCAGAGACACUCAAAGGGCAGAGCCACACAAUGGAGAAACAAUUAAAAAUAAAACACAAGGCCGAUUAUUUCAAUUAGGUAACAAAUAUGAUGGAGAACCAUUGUCACAUUAUGGACAGUGACAACAGAGAACAGACAAAAGGUUUGAGUACAAUCCAUAUUUUAAACAUAGUAAUAAUUUAAAGUUAUUCAAUAUUAAACGUGAACCAGCACCGUGGGCAGAAUGUCAAACAUAUUUUCUGUUCAAUUCCCCACGGGGCAAUCCGCAGUCAUUCUCCUACCUCCUCAAUGCUGGUGGGCUGACAAGUGCUUAGUGGUGUGUGAAGUGGGAAUAACGUGUUAUAUAAGCAUUUCAUCGAGUGUCCCUGCUAUCGCAGCGCUUCUGCAAUACACAUACAACAUACCUUAUUGAACUGUAUACGGAACCUACUAGCGUAAUGAAAAAUGUUAAAUCAAACCCGGCAAGCUAUAGCUUUACAUGUCUACAAAACGGCAAUAUGAAAACAUACAAAAAAUUAAGUUACAUCGAUACAUCCAUUUAUAUGCAGUGAUGAGCCCAAAAAGGUUAAUAAGGAUAAAAUACUGAUGCAAAAAUCACACACACACACACGCGCGCACGCACGCACGCACACACACACACACACACACACACACACACACACACACACACACACCCCAAAACAGAACAAUGCAACUAACAUCCAUCAUCAGCAAUACAGUAGUUACAAUUACACUUCAAACAUUAAAGCAAAAACACUCAAAUCAAAACCACUUCUAUUUCAGAUAAUUAGGGACCUAGCUAGCCUACAUAAAGAGGUCCACUAGGUUUGAACGAAGAUAAAUCACCUAAUUUCACAGCUAUUGAAGUGGCAAUCAGUAUAUAGCAGCUUAUCUAUGAUACAUUCAAGAAAAAUGAUACGACUUACUAAAUCGCCCCAAAAAAGCUCAGCCAUUUUUUUUUAAUACAAUUUUUGAAAUUUAACCCCAGCUCUAUGACUACAGUAUACUUGAGGUCUAUUAUGCAAAAAAGAAUCUAGCUACCUUGCUCAGGAAAUGAGUUACAGUCUUUGGUGCUGCACAAGCAACUUCAUUUGAAAGUAAAGACAAAAAACGGUUCACACUUAACAAGCAAAAACAAACUGAAAAACACACAGCAUAUAUUUUCUCCCUGACGGAAUGUAUAACAUAAGCAGUCGACACCAGUAAGCCUUAAACAAACGGUAUAAUGUAAAGGGAAAAAAGUUAAUUUUGUCACAUGCAUAAAUGAGAAAAUUGCACACAAUUAACUCACACCUUAUCAAGC
ensembl:lncRNA